CAAGUUUAUAAAGAAUAGGUAAGAUUCUGGCGAAAGGUAGUCGUAAUUUCAUGAUCAGUGGCAUUCCGAUUGCGUUCGUGUGUUUCUAUAUCUACGGUACAUUAGUUAUUUUAACGCUGCAGGCUAUUGCGCGAUCUGAACACGAUUCUUCUACGUUUAGAACGAAAACUACGAUUGGCCACGAACGGUUCUCGCUGAAGGAAUUGUGUAACCGCGAGUGUAGAAAGCGAGAGUGUAAGAAACGAGAACGGAAGAACGAAGGGCAGGCGAUAAUUGAUAUGUUUCUGUGUACCAGGUAUCGUAAGAAGGAGAGUUGUUAUAGAUCUCUGUUUGAGAAAAAGUUCGGGGAAGAAUCAGAGAGCAAAGAGGUUUGGUAAAGAAACCACACGGUCGUGGCGGCGGACCGCCGCGGCAGCCGAAUCGAUAUUCUCUCGCGGGACGGUCUAGCCUAGUCUCGGUGCGCUCUACAAAAAACUGCCGAGACAAAACGAUUCUUAAUCGUAUACCUCCGCAUCGCGGAUGCUAGAAAAAAUUGAUCCGGACUCGUAGUUAAACGUCAGCAUGCACAUAUUUAAAUACUGCACGUACACGGGCAAUUAUCUACAUCGUUCUACUAUUACGUCCUGCCUACGUGACAGUGGAUGCAUCAUCGCAUGUAUCACCGAUACGGCCGACGUUGGAGCAGACCUUAAAUCAUGCACUGACCAUGCGGAAAUCGGCUGCGAGACGUUAUUACCGUUAUUACCGUGGUCAUACCCUGGCUCCUUCCAAGAUUCAUUAAACACGCUUUUCAACGUCUCGAGCAAAUGUUGAUUUUACAAACUUGUCCGAGAGAACGUUUACACAGCUGAUUAUCGCCCGAGGUCUGUCGCGGUAAAACUGGAGGACGGUGACGAGGAAACGAGCCGACACGACACGGUGUACAAUUCAUGUGAACAUCCUUUAACAGUUCAAGGAUACGACGUCGUCGGUUGCACGAAAACGGCUGAUCCGUGAACCGAAAUAACUGACACGGCUCGUACUCUCGCCGAGAGAGCGAAAACGUUUACGGGACGAAUUCUAUUCGGGUGAUCGGAGGAAAAAAGGGGGUGCGCGCGGCACAUGACCUUUUGACCACGGGGAAUUCCUCGGAUAAACGAGCUUUUCGCCGUAGACCGUACAGCCAAGAAGGGAGCAACAAGUGUGAAUCUUGUCUACCCUGCGGAUCGGACGGUUCUUAGCUUUCCUCUCCGCUUUUCUACACCUUUCCCGUUUUCCCUCCUUCUCGUUCACCCUCCUGCUCACGGCGUCUAUGACUCCGCGUCCGUUUCACCAACGCGCGCCCCACCCUCCUUUCUCACCCCGCGCCAGUCCAUCCCCUCGCAUCCCGGAGCAAGUACGUGCACCGUCUUUCCUCUAACGCGCGCUACAAAAUGCCCAUCGAGAGUAGUCGGGUAAAAAGCGCAUCUAUUCAAAAAUAAGAGCUCGCGUCAGCUCCCGCACCUUUGUCGGCCCUGGUACAAAGGUGUAUAAAGUUUGCUGGUCGAACAGUGACUCUCGGCAUCUAAGGAAUUCGCAAACGCACGGUACAUAUGUAUAAUAUGUACGUGCGCCAUGCAUGUAUGCACGUACACCGGCGCGGAGGGAACUCGGUACGAUACUCUGAAAUGCUUAUUCACCGCUACGGAAUGAAUAAUGGACUGCUAGCGAAAUACGUCGAGCCAUAAAUAUUGUAUCUGGAACGCUGUAUAGACACAGAUCGCUCUCUGUUCUCCGUUCUGCUAUUUCCUAUCUGAUCAAGAUCGUUGCCAUGGGAAUGUGCGUAUGCGACCCUCGCGUUUUAGAUUCGACGAGAUUCUUCGUACCAGAUUUUCGAGGCAAUUAUUGUACAGAUCUCGAGUGCACGUUUGAGAGCGGGAAGGAAAAAAAGGGGAAGAGAAGAGAGAGAGAGGGAGAGCCAGGCGAGAAACGUAAUCAUUUGCAAUCCCGCGUAGAACCGCUUUGAAACUGUACGAAGGAAUUUAUUAAAGUUUGACUAAGUCGCUUUACAAAGUUUCAUCGGUGCACCAGAGUACUCUGGAGGAGGUGUAGCGGCGACAGGGCGACGGAAGGUAAGGCAGCCAGGCAGCCAGGCAGGGCAAAGCAGGAGAACGGAGCCGUGGUAGCGCGGAACAAGGAAACAGAGGGGAAUCAUCCUCUGGAAGAAGCGGGACCGAGGUAUAGGGGCGGGUCCGUGCAAGUAGGAUAACCGGAGAAGUGGAAAGUGAAGGAGGAGAGGAUAGUAGUUGGAGAGGAACCGGGAUGAGACGAGACGAGAUGAGACGAGAUGAGAUGAGAUGAGAUGAGGUGAAACGAGAGGGACCGAAGAGGAGAAAGACAGGCGAAGAAGAAGAAGAAGAAGAAGCGUAUUUGAAGGGAGGCUGAGCAGGAGGUGCAGGGAGGCCGCGGGACGAAGAGGGCGAGGGGGGUUGGGGAGGGCAGAUUCCACGUGGAGAUGCGACUCUAGAAGAGUCGAGGGAGAAUGGGAAUGGGAACCGGUGUGCCGAGGUUGACGUCGUGUCCUACGAGCGACGGGGGUAGUAGCUCGCUGGAGCGAGAGCCACGUCGAGAUUCCAAAUCUAUGGAUCUGGUCCCAGAGCGAGAGUCCGUGCCGCUUCUCACCUUGUCACCCUUUCUCGCGCCGUGCAGAUUACGCGGAAAAGCGAAUCGGGCCGGGAAAGAAAAUCGGACAAAAUGCCCCGCCGCUAGUGUGGCAGGCAGACCGAAUGGCUUAUUGAUUUAACGAGAGAGAGAGAGAGAGAGGGUUCGCGGGUGGCUAGGUUGAGACUACGAAGAGGGUGCGGGCGCUGGGGGAGGCAGAGGGUACGGGGAACGCGGAAUGAGGUGGUGGGGUAGGGAAGAGGGGUAGGUUCGCGGGUUCGCUGGCUCUCGCGAGCUCGGAAAUCAUGGAAAGGGUAGAGGAGCAGAGCGAGGGGCCGAGGGGCAGGGUAGGUAUGAUAGGGUCGGGGGUCGGGAAAAUAAGGGACAACGGGUACGGGCGAGGGGAUGACGGGGGUGAAGAGAAACAGUACCAAUACUCCGGCGGAAAGUACAUCAAAUUAUAUCCUUAUAGCGCAAUUCCUUUUACAACGAUUCUAUUUGCAGGUAAGCGAAUAGAACGUCGGAGCGCGCGUGGCUUUCUAUUAUUUGUACAAUGAUUAUUGGGUCGGUGCAAAAGCUCGUGCCUGGCUCGAAACAAGAUGCGACUGACUUAAUACGUGCCAGCUGAGACGUUUGCAAUGACUGGUAAUUCCUUUUUGUUACUAAUUUUGUGCUACGCUCCUCGUCGGCCGAUGAUCGUUACUGUAUCUUGCGAAAAUUGGUUGACAGACCCGUAGAUGCAUAUCGUAAUGGGACGAAAAAGGCAGGGUGAUUCGACGAGCGAUCCUACUGCGAGCGGCAGGAUGCCCGAAUGGUCAUUGGCCGAUCAACAAGUGGCUCAUGAUUUUGUCAGUGGCUCUGCGACCGACCCUGGUCCCGGCCCGUUCCCGUACCCGUUGCCUGACCGUCGUCCGAUGCGGUCUGCCACUGAAACACCCCCUACUACACCCACCCCUUCUCCGUGUUCUAUUAGCGAAAAUCUAUCUCUCUCUCUCUCUCUCUCACACUCUCUCGGUUAAUACACCGAAAUAAUCAAAGCGAUUCGAAUCUUGUACGCGAUCAUACGACACACUUUCUCCACGAAA